rnacentral:rRNA from 1 species
GACGAACGCUGGCGGCGUGCUUAACACAUGCAAGUCGAACGGAAAGGCCCUGCUUUCGUGGUGUUCUAGUGUCGCAAACGGGAGAAUCACACGUGUGUUACCUGCUCUUGUUUGUGGUAUAACUUCAGGACUGGGGGUCAAAUCCCGGAUAGGAGCUCCUGAUGCAUGGGGGGGGUUGGAUAGUUUCGGCGGUGGGGGAUGGACUCGCGGCUUACUAGCUGGUUGGGGGGGUAGUGGCCUACCAAGGCUUUGACGGGUGGCCGGCCUGAGAAGUGGACCGGCCACAUUGGGACGGAGAUACGGCCCAGACUCCUACGGGGGGCAGCAGGGGGGAAUAUGGCACAAGGGGCGGAAGCCUGAUGCAGCAACGCCGCGUGCGGGAUGACGGCCUUCGGGUUGUAACCCGCUUCCGCCUGUGACGAAGCGUUAGUGACGGUAAUGAGUAAAGAAGCACCGGCUAACUACGUG